rnacentral:misc_RNA from 1 species
UUAACUUCGUAGAGUGAUAGAACU